rnacentral:rRNA from 2 species
UUUAUGGAGAGUUUGAUCCUGGCUCAGGAUGAACGCUGGCGGCGUGCCUAAUACAUGCAAGUCGAGCGAACAGACGAGGAGCUUGCUCCUUUGACGUUAGCGGCGGACGGGUGAGUAACACGUGGGUAACCUACCUAUAAGACUGGGAUAACUUCGGGAAACCGGAGCUAAUACCGGAUAAUAUUUCGAACCGCAUGGUUCGAUAGUGAAAGAUGGCU